GCUAAAAAACAAUAUGCAGCUGUUGAUGUGAACAGCUUCAACUUUCUAAUCUUUACUAAUCAGAUCCAUGUAGAGAAUUUAGAUCACCCUUGACCCAACUCAUAACAACACUGGAAUCAAGCUCAACAAUGAUGAUUUUUUGAAGCCUUCCUGCUAAGCCAAUAGAAAGCCCAUUAAAAAAAGAUCAAGUUCAACCAUCCCAAACUAGCACACCCCAAAUUAGCACAAAAAGCCACCACAUCCAAAGCAUUUCCUGACAGCUCUUUAACACAGCCAUCAGAGUUGAUUUCAACCCAUCCCUCAUUAGAAGCUUCCCAUUGAAUAUGAAAUUGAAUAUUUUUAGGAGCUUGAGCAGGAUUCAGGGAAAGAUUGCUUAACCAUUUGAGUAACAUAAUUCUAAAUGACUUCCCUCAGGAUUUGCAGGCAACACAAAAUCAUUUCCAAAUAAUCAUCCAGCAAGCAAAAGAGAAAACCACAUUCCAAUCCACAGACAUAACAUUUCCAGGUCUCAAAAAUUUAGAUUUCCCCUUCAAAUUAACAGCUAAAAAUCUUUAAUAUCAUGAUUGAAGAAAGAUGGAUUUCUGUUCAGAAUACCCAAAACCAAACCUGCACAGAUAUAUUACAACCUCUCAAUACAUGCAAAGAAUUCUUUUCUGGGUUUUCAGUGAUAUGUAUUUAUAAAUAUAUAAUGUAUUGAGAGGUUGAUGGGUCGGAAGAUACUUGAAGCUGACUUGCCUGUGAAGGAUAAGAAGAAACAUGGGCACAUUAUUGGGUUCAAAUAAAGAUUCGAAUUCUCUGGAAAUCAGAGAACUCAAACUCAGCGGAUGAUGAAUGAAUUCAGACUCAGACAAAAUGAUGAAGAAAGCAACUUUACCAAGGAUACACAUAUACAGGCCUAGGAACGAUGAAGAAGCUUGGGAUGCAGAGUGAUAUUUCUCAUAAGAUGAUGAAGCAAUUUAAGAUUAGGCAGCAGCAGCAGCAUAUAUAGAUAUAUAUAUAUAUAUAUAUAUAUAUAUAUCUUUAGCAGUGUAUAUGCAUGCAUACUCUAAUUUUACAUUGGAUUUGCAUGUAGAUGCUAUAUCACUCUUUUACAUUUUGCAAAAAAUCAUAUAUGUGCGGAAAUUGUAGUAGUUUUUCUUCUGCA